rnacentral:rRNA from 1 species
CCUACGGGGGGCAGCAGUAGGGAAUAUUGGUCAAUGGAGGCAACUCUGAACCAGCCAUGCCGCGUGCAGGACUAAGGCCCUAUGGGUCGUAAACUGCUUUUGAACGGGAAGAAAUGUAUCUACGUGUAGAUAUUUGACGGUACCGUUAGAAUAAGGAUCGGCUAACUUCGUGCCAGCAGCCGCGGUAAUACGAAGGAUCCAAGCGUUGUCCGGAUUUACUGGGUUUAAAGGGUGCGUAGGCGGACUUAUAAGUCAGUGGUGAAAGCCUUCAGCUUAACUGAAGAACUGCCAUUGAAACUGUAAGUCUCGAGUUCGGUUGAGGUCAUUGGAAUGUAACAUGUAGCGGUGAAAUGCAUAGAUAUGUUACAGAACACCAAUUGCGAAGGCAGAUGACUAAACCGAAACUGACGCUGAGGCACGAAAGCGUGGGGAUCAAACAGGAUUAGAUACCCGAGUAGUC